UGGGGAAUAUUGGACAAUGGGCGAAAGCCUGAUCCAGCCAUGCCGCGUGUGUGAAGAAGGUCUUCGGAUUGUAAAGCACUUUAAGUUGGGAGGAAGGGCAGUAAGCGAAUACCUUGCUGUUUUGACGUUACCGACAGAAUAAGCACCGGCUAACUCUGUGCCAGCAGCCGCGGUAAUACAGAGGGUGCAAGCGUUAAUCGGAAUUACUGGGCGUAAAGCGCGCGUAGGUGGUUCGUUAAGUUGAAUGUGAAAGCCCCGGGCUCAACCUGGGAACUGCAUCCAAAACUGGCGAGCUAGAGUAGGGCAGAGAGUGGUGGAAUUUCCUGUGUAGCGGUGAAAUGCGUAGAUAUAGGAAGGAACACCAGUGGCGAAGGCGACCACCUGGGCUCAUACUGACACUGAGGUGCGAAAGCGUGGGGAGCAAACAGG
rnacentral:rRNA from 1 species